GACGAACGCUGGCGGCGUGCUUAACACAUGCAGGUCGAACGGAAAGGCCUGCUUUCCCUUGUGGAUUGCGGGUACUCGAGUGGCGAACGGGUGAGUAACACGUGAGUGAUCUGCCCCCAACUUGGGUGUAAGCCUGGGAAACUGGGUCUAAUUCCCGAUAGGACUGCAGGGUGGUGCCUGUGGUGGAAAACGAUUUUCUAGUGGUUGGGGAUGAGCUCGCGGCCUAUCAGCUUGUUGGUGGGGUAAUGGCCUACCAAGGCGGCGACGGGUAGCCGGCCUGAGAGGGUGGACGGCCACAUUGGGACUGAGAUACGGCCCAGACUCCUACGGGAGGCAGCAGUGGGGAAUAGUGCACAAUGGGCGGAAGCCUGAUGCAGCGACGCCGCGUGGGGGAUGACGGCCUUCGGGUUGUAAACUCCUUUCGACCGCGAGGAAGCCACCUGGUUGGAAGGGUGGUGACGGUAGUGGUAGAAGAAGCACCGGCUAACUACGUG
rnacentral:rRNA from 1 species